CUACGGGAGGCACCAGUGGGGAAUAUUGGACAAUGGGGGGAACCCUGAUCCAGCCAUGCCGCGUGUGUGAAGAAGGCCUUUUGGUUGUAAAGCACUUUAAGCAGUGAAGAAGACUCUUCGGUUAAUACCCGGGGACGAUGACAUUAGCUGCAGAAUAAGCACCGGCUAACUCUGUGCCAGCAGCCGCGGUAAUACAGAGGGUGCAAGCGUUAAUCGGAAUUACUGGGCGUAAAGCGAGCGUAGGUGGCUUGAUAAGUCAGAUGUGAAAUCCCCGGGCUUAACCUGGGAACUGCAUCUGAAACUGUUAGGCUAGAGUAGGUGAGAGGGAAGUAGAAUUUCAGGUGUAGCGGUGAAAUGCGUAGAGAUCUGAAGGAAUACCGAUGGCGAAGGCAGCUUCCUGGCAUCAUACUGACACUGAGGCUCGAAAGCGUGGGUAGCAAACAGGAUUAGAUACCCUCGUAGUC
rnacentral:rRNA from 1 species